UUGAUAAAUUACCAUUUAAAUUUUGAAAAAAAAGGGGAAGUAGAGGUACAGAGAAGCAGAAAUUUAUUAGUAAUACAAGAAGACAUCGAUCCCUUCUAACAAAAUUCUUUGUUAAUUAAAUAAAUAAAUUCAAAGAUGUCCAAGUUUAUUAUUUUAAUGCUGGUAUCUAUGUUGGUCGUCAAUAUUUGCGCUCAAGAGUGUGACGACACUGGCAAAGAUUGUGAAGAAAAUGAGGACUGUUGCAGUGGGAAGUGCGAAGAGUAUAAAGAGGAAAAGAUGUGUUUCCCAUCAAUACAAGAAUUGGACGGAAUGAAGGCAUCUUUGCAUUAUCUGGGUACAGCUGGACUUUUACAAAUUUAUUCUCUUUGUGAAGCGUUGGAUCAAUAAAAAUUAUACAAUGUGUAAUUAAUAAUUUGUAAUUCGUUUGAUGAUAAAAUAAAUAAUUACUUGUCAUUAGCCUCCAAAAA